rnacentral:misc_RNA from 1 species
GUGAAUCAUCAAAUCUUUGAACGCAAAUUGCACUCUCCUCGGAGAGUAUGCCUGUUUGAGGGUCAGCCUAUAAAAAAUCGACAUCGGUGCUGUUUCGCGGUGACGUUCGUCGGAAAUUGGGUCAUCUUAAAUCCUUUUGUUUUUAAGCGACUUAAAAUUUUCUUUUUGGUUCGAUGAACGUUUCUAAGAUGUAUUUCUUUACACGUUUAAGGGUAUCUAUUUUUAUUAUACUUGACCAUCAUAGCGGAUCUCGUCCAUAUUCUUUCAUUAACUGACCUCAGACAGGUAAGAGUACCCGCUU